rnacentral:rRNA from 1 species
GAUGAACGCUGGCGGCGUACCUAAUACAUGCAAGUCGAGCGAACAGACGAGGAGCUUGCUCCUCUGACGUUAGCGGCGGACGGGUGAGUAACACGUGGAUAACCUACCUAUAAGACUGGGAUAACUUCGGGAAACUGGAGCUAAUACCGGAUAAUAUAUUGAACCGCAUGGUUCAAUAGUGAAAGACGGUUUUGCUGUCACUUAUAGAUGGAUCCGCGCCGCAUUAGCUAGUUGGUAAGGUAACGGCUUACCAAGGCGACGAUGCGUAGCCGACCUGAGAGGGUGAUCGGCCACACUGGAACUGAGACACGGUCCAGACUCCUACGGGAGGCAGCAGUAGGGAAUCUUCCGCAAUGGGCGAAAGCCUGACGGAGCAACGCCGCGUGAGUGAUGAAGGUCUUCGGAUCGUAAAACUCUGUUAUUAGGGAAGAACAAAUGUGUAAGUAACUAUGCACGUCUUGACGGUACCUAAUCAGAAAGCCACGGCUAACUACGUG